UUUUAAGAAUUUUAGACAACACUCAGGACGAACGCUGGCGGCGUGCCUAAUACAUGCAAGUCGAGCGGACAGAUGGGAGCUUGCUCCCUGAUGUUAGCGGCGGACGGGUGAGUAACACGUGGGUAACCUGCCUGUAAGACUGGGAUAACUCCGGGAAACCGGGGCUAAUACCGGAUGGUUGUUUGAACCGCAUGGUUCAAACAUAAAAGGUGGCUUCGGCUACCACUUACAGAUGGACCCGCGGCGCAUUAGCUAGUUGGUGAGGUAAUGGCUCACCAAGGCAACGAUGCGUAGCCGACCUGAGAGGGUGAUCGGCCACACUGGGACUGAGACACGGCCCAGACUCCUACGGGAGGCAGCAGUAGGGAAUCUUCCGCAAUGGACGAAAGUCUGACGGAGCAACGCCGCGUGAGUGAUGAAGGUUUUCGGAUCGUAAAGCUCUGUUGUUAGGGAAGAACAAGUACCGUUCGAAUAGGGCGGUACCUUGACGGUACCUAACCAGAAAGCCACGGCUAACUACGUGCCAGCAGCCGCGGUAAUACGUAGGUGGCAAGCGUUGUCCGGAAUUAUUGGGCGUAAAGGGCUCGCAGGCGGUUUCUUAAGUCUGAUGUGAAAGCCCCCGGCUCAACCGGGGAGGGUCAUUGGAAACUGGGGAACUUGAGUGCAGAAGAGGAGAGUGGAAUUCCACGUGUAGCGGUGAAAUGCGUAGAGAUGUGGAGGAACACCAGUGGCGAAGGCGACUCUCUGGUCUGUAACUGACGCUGAGAGCGAAAGC
rnacentral:rRNA from 1 species